GAUGAACGCUGGCGGCGUGCCUAACACAUGCAAGUCGAGCGAACGGACGAGAAGUUUGCUUCUCUGAUGUUAGCGGCGGACGGGUGAGUCACACGUGGAUAACCUACCUAUACGACUGGGAUAAUUUCGGCAAACCGGAUCUAAUACCGGAUAAUAUUUUGAACUUCAUGGUUCAAACGUUUAAGACGCUCUUUCUGUCACUUAUAGCUGGAUCCGCGCUGCAUUCGCUAGUUGUUAAGGUAACGGCUUACCAAGGCUACGAUGCAUACCCGACCUGAGAGGGUGAUCGCCCACACUGGAACUGAGGAACGGUCGAGACUCCUGCGGGAGGCAGCAGUAGGGAAUCUUACGCAAUGGGGGAGAGCGUGACGGUGCAACGCCGCGUGAGUGAUGAAGGUGUUCUGAUCGGAAAACGCUGAUGUCAGGGGGGAACAUAUGUGUAAGUAACUGGGCAGAUCAUGACGGUACCGAAAGAGAAAGCCACGGCUAACUACGUG
rnacentral:rRNA from 1 species